AACCGUGUACGUACAAGCAGUGGGAGCCUCUUUUAUGGGGUGACUGCGUACCUUUUGUAUAAUGGGUCAGCGACUUAUAUUCUGUAGCAAGGUUAACCGAAUAGGGGAGCCGAAGGGAAACCGAGUCUUAACUGGGCGUUAAGUUGCAGGGUAUAGACCCGAAACCCGGUGAUCUAGCCAUGGGCAGGUUGAAGGUUGGGUAACACUAACUGGAGGACCGAACCGACUAAUGUUGAAAAAUUAGCGGAUGACUUGUGGCUGGGGGUGAAAGGCCAAUCAAACCGGGAGAUAGCUGGUUCUCCCCGAAAGCUAUUUAGGUAGCGCCUCGUGAAUUCAUCUCCGGGGGUAGAGCACUGUUUCGGCAAGGGGGUCAUCCCGACUUACCAACCCGAUGCAAACUGCGAAUACCGGAGAAUGUUAUCACGGGAGACACACGGCGGGUGCUAACGUCCGUCGUGAAGAGGGAAACAACCCAGACCGCCAGCUAAGGUCCCAAAGUCAUGGUUAAGUGGGAAACGAUGUGGGAAGGCCCAGACAGCCAGGAUGUUGGCUUAGAAGCAGCCAUCAUUUAAAGAAAGCGUAAUAGCUCACUGGUCGAGUCGGCCUGCGCGGAAGAUGUAACGGGGCUAAACCAUG
rnacentral:rRNA from 1 species